CGUGAACCGCUUGGAAGGAAACGGGUGGAGCCGAUGUCAGUCCGCAGGAUUCAAUAUUCGGAGUUCGGGGUCGCCAGUUAAGGCUGGUUGUUUGUCUGUUCUCUGAAUGUGCAUUUCUUGCGGAUGCGCAUUGGACAUGACGAUUGUGCUGGAAAAAACGCGACGAGCGCCGACUGAUCUUCGGAUUAGUGCCCUAUCGUUGCGCGGAACUGUGUUGCAGUUGUCAUUUGGUUUGGAACUCCGGCGUUGGCUUAUGCGUGGUAGCACUGGUGUAUGGGUGGCUGAACGACUGGGAUUCUGCUUGCAGGCCCUGGUAAACCUCGCCCAUGCGGCUGGUGUGAUCCAACGUGACGCUGGGUCUGAUGAUUAUGUCGGCGACCCUCCCGACCCGUCUUGAAACACGGACCAAGGAGUCUAACAUGUGCGCGAGUCAUUGAGUGGAGAAACUCAAAGGCGCAAUGAGAGUGAAGGCUUAUGCUGACAUGGGAUCUGCGGUUCGCGAGGACUGCUGAGCACCAUGGUCCCGUCGCGAUUGCAUCGUCAAUGCGGCGGAGAUUGAGCGCACACGUUGGUACCCGAAAGAUGGUGAACUAUGCCUGAGCAGAACGAAGCCAGAGGAAACUCUGGUGGAGGUUCGUAGCGGUUCUGACGUGCAAAUCGAUCGUCAGACUUGGGUAUAGGGGCGAAAGACUAAUCGAACCAUCUAGUAGCUGUUUUCCCUUCCCGAAA
rnacentral:rRNA from 1 species